rnacentral:rRNA from 1 species
AAAUUGAAGAGUUUGAUCAUGGCUCAGAUUGAACGCUGGCGGCAGGCCUAACACAUGCAAGUCGAACGGUAGCACAGAGAGCUUGCUCUCGGGUGACGAGUGGCGGACGGGUGAGUAAUGUCUGGGAAACUGCCUGAUGGAGGGGGAUAACUACUGGAAACGGUGGCUAAUACCGCAUAACGUCGCAAGACCAAAGAGGGGGACCUUCGGGCCUCUUGCCAUCAGAUGUGCCCAGAUGGGAUUAGCUAGUUGGUGAGGUAACGGCUCACCAAGGCGACGAUCCCUAGCUGGUCUGAGAGGAUGACCAGCCACACUGGAACUGAGACACGGUCCAGACUCCUACGGGAGGCAGCAGUGGGGAAUAUUGCACAAUGGGCGCAAGCCUGAU